AUACACACUCUUCUUUAAGCUGCUAGGAUUUGCAGAAAAAUGGCUCAUCAUUAUCAGCUAUCCUCCCUCUUACUGCUUGCAUUUCUCAAUUUAUGCUUCAUGAAUGGCCACAUAACAUGUGUUACUGCACGCCGCCUUCUGGAGGCGCCCCUCCCUGAUAUUCCUAAACCAGAAUUUCCAAAAGUUCCAACCUUGCCAAAGCCUGAGAUCCCAACUGUGCCGAAGCCUGAGAUUCCAGCCAUACCAAAGCCUGAAAUUCCUGUUAUGCCAAAGCCUGAAGUACCAACUGUGCCGAAGCCUGAGCUGCCAACUGUCCCAAAGCCUGAGUUACCAACUUUACCAAAACCCGAGAUCCCAACUGUGCCAAAGCCCAAGCUUCCAGCUAUGCCAAAGCCUGAGAUCCCAGCAAUGCCAAAACCUGAGUUGACAAACGCACCAAAGCCUGAAAUCCCAAUGGUUCCAAAGCCCGAGAUUCCUACUAUGCCAAAGCCUGAGCUACCAGCUACUCCAAAACCUGAGUUACCAAAUUUCCCGAAGCCUGAGAUUCCAACAGUGCCAAAGCCUGAGAUUCCAGCCGUGCCAAAGCCGGAGAUACCAAAGUUGUCAAAGCCCGAGCUUCCUCGCCUAGAAAAGCCAGAGGUUCCAGCACUGCCAAAGACUGAGCUUCCUCCAGCUAUGACAAAGCCUGAUGUGCCGACUGUGCCAAAGCUCGAGCAACCAGUGGUGCCAAAACCUGAGAUUCCCACUGUGCCAAAACCAGAAAUCCCGGAGCUACCAAAGCCAAAAAUCCCUGAGUUACCUAAGCUAGAAGUUCCAGCUAUCCCAAAACCAAAAACCCCAGAAUUGCCUAAACAAACAAUUCCAACCUCCCCAAGCCUACCAAAGGAGAUACCAUUUCCUUCACUUUCUCCACCAUAUAAACCCGCUACUCCUUGAGUAAUUAUGUAUGGUACUGGUCAUUCUAUUAGAAGGUACAUGAGGUUUUGAGAUGUGCCACCUCAGUCUGUGAAGUUUGCUGCAUGGGUCAUGACAUGGAGUUAAUUUGACAGAACAUAUAUACUGGAUACUUUCUGCUAUGAUUAUUUAAUAUAUAAUUCAUUUGUCGUAUUUGAUCUAAAAUGUAUCUUGUUCCACGAGUCAUUAUGACUCUAUGAGUCUUAUAUGUAACUUUUAUUCCAUGUAUUAAAACUAUGAUUUUUGUGAUUUUCCGGAGUUAUUACUUUGAUAUAUUUCUUAUUCGUAGCCAUAUCUGAUUUUCAUCCUAAUGCACAUUGGAUUCGG
rnacentral:lncRNA from 1 species